rnacentral:rRNA from 1 species
GUGUCAGCAGCCGCGGUAAUACGAAGGACCCGAGCGUUAUCCGGAUUUAUUGGGUUUAAAGGGUGCGUAGGUGGAACGGUAAGUCAGUGGUGAAAGCCUGUUGCUUAACAACAGAACUGCCAUCGAUACUGCCGAUCUUGAGUACAUAUGAUGUGGGCGGAAUGUGCCAUGUAGCGGUGAAAUGCUUAGAUAUGGCACAGAACACCGAUUGCGAAGGCAGCUCACAAAACUGUAACUGACACUGAGGCACGAAAGCGUGGGGAUCAAACAGGAUUAGAUACCCUGGUAGUCC